GGGCGAUUAGCUCAGCGGUAGAGCAGCUCGUUUACACCGAGAAGGUCGGGGGUUCAAUCCCCUCAUCGCCCA
rnacentral:tRNA from 2 species